UCUUGAUUUAUCAGUUGUAUCAACUCAAUUUAGCAGCAUUCUCUACAAUUCACAUUUUGAUUAAACAAGCUAACAUACAAUAAUGUUGAUUAUCGAAGAAGAACAAUUCGAAUGGAGUGCACUCUUGUAUUUGCUCUUGUCCAUUGUGCUGAUCAAUACACUUUCUUGGCUCUACAAGAAAGAUGAUGCAAAGAAAUCAGCUCAAAAUAAGGAGGAGAGUGAAGCAAAGAUUUAAAGAUGUGUCAUGCUCGAAAAUAAACAAACUACAUAAUAUAUAAUACAAGAAAUACAAAGAAUAAACAAAAUUAGUGGCUGAAUUCUUAUAUAAUUUUGUAUAUAAAAGGAUGUAAUUUUUUCACUAACUAAAAGCGAUUCAAGUCUGGAAAGAAACUUGCAAGUUAAUACUUCAUAUAUAUUAUAUUUAUUUAGAAAGAAUACAAAAAGGGAAAGAAAAUAUCGGACACUGAA